GACGAACGCUGGCGGCGUGCUUAACACAUGCAAGUCGAACGGAAAGGCCCUGCUUUUGUGGGGUGCUCGAGUGGCGAACGGGUGAGUAACACGUGAGUAACCUGCCCUUGACUUUGGGAUAACUUCAGGAAACUGGGGCUAAUACCGGAUAGGAGCUCCUGCUGCAUGGUGGGGGUUGGAAAGUUUCGGCGGUUGGGGAUGGACUCGCGGCUUAUCAGCUUGUUGGUGGGGUAGUGGCUUACCAAGGCUUUGACGGGUAGCCGGCCUGAGAGGGUGACCGGCCACAUUGGGACUGAGAUACGGCCCAGACUCCUACGGGAGGCAGCAGUGGGGAAUAUUGCACAAUGGGCGGCAGCCUGAUGCAGCAACGCCGCGUGCGGGAUGACGGCCUGCGGGUUGUAGACCGCUUUCGCCUGUGACGAAGCGUGAGUGACGGUAAUGGGUAAAGAAGCACCGGCUAACUACGUG
rnacentral:rRNA from 1 species